GUUAAUGUAGCUUAACUCAAUAAAGCAAAGCACUGAAAAUGCUUAGAUGGGUAUUUUGUACCCCAUAAACA
ensembl:Mt_tRNA